UACGUGGGGUGCUAGCGUUGUUCGGAAUUACUGGGCGUAAAGCGCGCGUAGGCGGUCCGUUAAGUCCGGGGUGAAAGGUUCAGCGCUCAACGCGAACAGUGCCCUGGAGACUGGGGGACUUGAGUGUGGCAGGGGGUGGCGGAAUUCCUGGUGUAGCGGUGAAAUGCGUAGAUAUCGGGAGGAACACCUGUGGCGAAAGCGGCGCACUGGACCACUACUGACGCUGAGGCGCGAAAGCUAGGGGAGCAAACAGG
rnacentral:rRNA from 1 species